rnacentral:rRNA from 1 species
AACGAACGCUGGCGGCAGGCUUAACACAUGCAAGUCGAACGCAUCCUUCGGGGUGAGUGGCAGACGGGUGAGUAACGCGUGGGAACGUGCCCUUCAGUUCGGGAUAACCUAGGGAGACUUGGGCUAAUACCGGAUACGUGCGAGAGCAGAAAGAUUUAUCGCUGGAGGAUCGGCCCGCGUCUGAUUAGCUAGUUGGUGGGGUAAUGGCCCACCAAGGCGACGAUCAGUAGCUGGUCUGAGAGGAUGAUCAGCCACAUUGGGACUGAGACACGGCCCAAACUCCUACGGGAGGCAGCAGUGGGGAAUAUUGGACAAUGGGCGCAAGCCUGAUCCAGCCAUGCCGCGUGAGUGAUGAAGGCCUUAGGGUUGUAAAGCUCUUUCGUCCGGGACGAUAAUGACGGUACCGGAAGAAGAAGCCCCGGCUAACUUCGUGCCAGCCGCCGCAGUAA